rnacentral:rRNA from 1 species
CCCGGCACAAGCGGUGGAGUAUGUGGUUUAAUUCGAUGCAACGCGAAGAACCUUACCUGGUCUUGACAUCCCGGAGACCCUUAGGAAACUAGGGGUGCUCCAUCUGGAAGAAUCUGGAGACAGGUGCUGCAUGGCUGUCGUCAGCUCGUGUCGUGAGAUGUUGGGUUAAGUCCCGCAACGAGCGCAACCCUUGCCUUUAGUUGCCAGCAGUUCGGCUGGGCACUCUAAAGGGACUGCCGGUGUUAAACCGGAGGAAGGUGGGGGAUGACGUCAAGUCCUCAUGGCCUUUAUGACCAGGGCUACACACGUACUACAAUGGCCGAUACAAAGGGCAGCGACACUGCGAGGUGAAGCCAAUCCCGUAAAAUCGGUCUCAGUCCGGAUUGGAGUCUGCAACUCGACUCCAUGAAGUUGGAAUCGCUAGUAAUCGUGGAUCAGCAUGCCACGGUGAAUACGUUCCCGGGCCUU